rnacentral:lncRNA from 8 species
AUGGAACAUUUUGAGAUGACAGCACUCAUGCACAAGGACGUGGAUAAGCUACUGAUAAUCAAUCUGCAUAAAAUGGCAGUCAACGUAGUUGAGAAGGCCCCAAAGAGUCCCCUGAAGAUGUUAUGUGCCCAGUUGCUAGAUGGCUGCCAAACAGAGGUGGAGAAAGUAGGCCAUAUGGUCAAUAGAGCCAUAUUCCUGCUGCCAUAUAUCUUCAAAGAGGAUCAGCACAGUUGUUUGUGGUUACUUGUCGUUAUGACAUUUUGGAACACUCAUUCGUUUUCUGUAAGCCAUUAGUGCAGGGCUCUACAAUUAGAUUAUUGUUCACUUCUUAGAUUAUACUGUACCUCUAUUAUUGAACAAUGACUUCGUUUUAAAUUGUACUUUGAAAUGAAUGGAAAUUAUACUUUGUUGGAAAUUGUACUUUGAGUUUGAAAUGAAAUGAUACUUCGUUUGAAAUUGUACAUUCUACUUUGUUUUGUGCUUGGUUGUGUAAUAAACUAUUGGUACAUUUGAGAUUUGUUUAGUCAUGACUGAUUAUUUCAAUACAGUUUAAAGAGUUAAUGUAUUUUAACAAAAUUCCUGAAGAGCCACCAUUUGAGAGAACCAUUUGAUUUAGGUUCUAUACAGAAACUUUUAGAGAUCUAAGUAGAACCAUCAAUGCUGUGCUUCAAAGGGUUGGGUUAUGGUUAGGGCCAGGGUUCUUUUAUAACUGUUUAAUUGUUUCCUUGUGUAACCAAUAAUGGAUCUUUGUAGAACCUUUAAUGCUGGAUCCUUGUGAAACUAAUAAUGGAUCUUUGGAGCUUUAGCAUUUUUUGUUUUGGUAGGGCUCUUUAAAGAACCAUCCCAUGUAUGGUUCUUCAGAAUGGCAUCACUCUCAAAAACCCUAUUUGGUUCCAACUUGCACCUUUAUUGUUGAUGCAUUUAUAAUGUACCUGAACUGCAUCUACUUCAGCUAUAUCUACAAUGUAUUGUGUUGGGAUAAUGUGAUGUCUUCCCAAUUCACACACGAUAACGUACACAGAGAAUGUGAGCAACACGCACAUUGCCUGCACAUGUGUCCCACUAUGGCUCAGUAACAACCAUGGCUUUUCUGUACAAUUCUGUGGAUGUGUGUCUGUCUUUGUUUGUCCGCCUGCGUGUGUAGCCUAUGUACACGUGCGGUCGUAGCCUGUAAUUUGAAUGAGUAUUACGUAUGUCCAUUAUGAGCAGUCUUAGCUAACAGGUGUGUGCUGGACAAGAACACCUGGGCUGAAAUGUGUUAUCUCUGGCCAUUUAAUGAAGUGUCCCUCUUUUCCUCCCGUCCAGGUGGGCAG